GUAGGUGAACCUGCGGAAGGAUCAUUACAGAGUUCAUGCCCUUAGGGGUAGAUCUCCCACCCUUGAAUAUCUUACCAUUGUUGCUUUGGCGGGCCGCUUCGGCCACUGGCUUUUAGCUAGUGAGUGCCCGCCAGAGGACCCUAAACUCUGAAUUUUGUAUUGUCUGAGAACUAUAUAAUAGUUAAAACUUUCAACAACGGAUCUCUUGGUUCUG
rnacentral:misc_RNA from 1 species